rnacentral:lncRNA from 1 species
GGUCUAGUGACCUACAUCACCACUGACUGGUGUGGUGUCUCUGUGGACCCGUGGGUGAAGUCCUAGAGAAGCAUGCACCAGCCUGAGAAGUGCACCUAUCUGUUCAAUAGACCUGAGAGUCAUUUUUCUGACACUGGGCAACACUGGGCAGUGAAGAGAGUCAGAUUCCCAUCACGCUCCGGGACAUGUUCCAUGAAGCCCCCUCAUCUGUCAUGUUCUCAGAGGUCAGUGAAACAGAAGAAUCAGAAAUGCUGAUUGGUCAGAGUGAUGGACUCAGAAAUGACUGGUCAAGGUUGUCACUGCAGUCCUGACAGAACUUCUGUAGACCAUUCCUUGAAGGUGCUGCUGGCCGAAGGAUCACCCUGCUCCCAGCAGCCUUGCUCUGGGGCUGGUCACUCGUUCCUUUCCAGUCAGACUGCUGCUCCACACUAGGUAGACUGAGCCAAACAUGAAUGUUGUUGGGAUUUACAAAUAAACUUGAACCUUUCAAAUUUUUGCCAGCUCCGGGAUCCUACCUUUUACAUCUUGAGUCUUCUUGAGUCUGAUAUCCAGAGCUACUGACUUCCUGAACUUGAGUGUCAAUCAGACAUCACGUGUACCCAGCUUUCCAAUGUACUCUCAGUGUCACCCCCUCUUCCUUUGCCCAAAUGCAGCGGUUCUCAACCUCCCCAGUUCUGCGACCUUUUAAUACAGUCCUUCCUGCUGUGGUGACCCCCAGUUAUAAAAUUAUUUUCGUUGCUACUUUAUAACUGCAAUUUUGCUACACAUUGAU